rnacentral:antisense_RNA from 1 species
UAAUCCAACAGGUCUGAUACACUGUUAUUGGGAAGAAAGCUCAUUGGUUAUAUCACUCAGGACAAGAUUUACGCAAGAUAGAAAUUUGUACUACUGGUCUAGGCAAAUGGUCUGCAUUUAAAUUUUCAUUUUUGGUAGUCAGUUCUAUUAAUAUCUUUUGGCACUCAUUUCCAUUUUGUAAACAGUGCUAUAAG